AUGGAGGCAACGGUGCUGAGCGUGGGCAAGUCCGUGGUGAGCGGAGCUCUUAACUAUGCCCAAUCUGCCGUUGCAGAGGAGGUGGCACUGCAGCUGGGAGUGCAGCGGGACCAGGCCUUCAUCAGGGAUGAGCUCGAGAUGAUGCAGUCUUUUCUGAUGGCUGCGCACGACGAGCGAGACGACAACAAGGUGGUCAAGACCUGGGUGAAGCAGGUCCGUGACCUGGGCUAUGAUGUGGAGGACUGCCUGCAGGACUUUGCCGUUCGCUUCGAGAAGCCGCCAUGCUGGUGGCACAUCCUGACGACGCUGCUUGACCGGCGCCAUGUGGCCGUGCAGAUGAAAAACCUUCGAGCCAAGGUCGAGGACGUCAGCCAGAGGAACCUGCGCUACCACCUCAUCAGGGGCCCUGCCUCUGGCUCGAAGCCCGAGGCCACGGCCGCUGACCAGUACUCUGCAGGCAUCAAGGCCAGUGCUACAGUGUUUGAUGUUGAUGAAGCAAGGCGUGGCGUGAAGCCGAGGGUAGAUCUCGCCCAACUCAUCAACAAAGAGCAGAGCAAUGAUCUUAGAGUGAUUGUGGUGUGGGGAACAUGUGGCGUGCUUGGGCAGGCGUCCGUGAUAAGGAAGGUGUAUGAUGAUUCGGCCAAGUUUGAAUGCCGUGCCUGGAUCAAGCUUACGCAUCCUUUCGACCCGAUCGUGUUCAUGCAAAGCAUUAUGAGGCAGUUCUAUGGAUAUUCUUCUUUUCCAGAAUUAGCAGCUGAGGGGCGAAGUUGUCGAGAAAGAGCAAGUUCUAUAGGGUCUGAGGUUCUGAAGAAGAUGCUGAUGAUGAAGCAAGAAGAUUUGGUUGACCAGUUCAAUGAGCAUGUGAAUAAGAAGAGUUACCUGAUUGUUCUUGACGACCUGUGCAGCAUACAAGAUUGGGACUGGAUUAGAACGUACUUUCCUUCCAAUAGUAAUGGGAACCGUAUCAUUGUGGCCACACAACAAGUUGAAGUUGCAAGCUUAUGCGUCGGCCGGAAAUGCCGAGUCUCAGAGCUUAAGCAAGUAUCUGCUGAUCAAACUCUCUAUGUUUUCUACCACAAGAGCCCUCAAGGUGGAGCAAAUUCAAUGGAUAUAGGGUCAAGCUCAAAGGCAACCGCCAUUGUCACUACUAAUAGAACAUACUCUUCGUUGACCCCCUAUGAGAUACCAGCUCAAGCUAAAGAUGCCGCUGGCGGACAGUAUGUGGUCAGAAGGAGCCUCAGCCGCAUCUUGUGGAUGACGGCUGUUCUGGAGGGAUCUGAAGUUGUUGGGAGGGAGACAGAAAAAUAUCACAUCCUCCGACUAGUCCAAUCAGUGAACAAAAACCUUCAGGUUAUCUCUGUGUGGGGAACGCGUGGUUUGGGGAAAACUGCUCUAGUCAAAUAUAUCUAUGAAAGCGAAGAACUUAGUCUUGCAUUUGAGAAACGUGCUUUUCUCACAAUCAUGAGCCCCUUCAAUCAUGAGGAGCUCCUUAGGAGUUUACUUAUGGAACUAGUGGUGGCAGUGAAUGACACAAUGCAUCCAAAGGGGUCAGUUGAGAUGUUGAAGGAUGAGCUGGGAUUCUUUUUGACAAAAUAUAAGUGCUUGAUUGUUCUUGACAACUUGUCAUCUACCAGUGACUGGGACAUGAUAAUGGAAAUUUUACCUCAUACGAUAAAUACAAGUCGAAUCAUAGUCACCACAAGAGAAGAGACUGUCGCCAAUUAUUGUUCAAAGAAACAAUUCAAUGCAUACAAGCUCAAAGGUCUAAAUAAGAAGGAUGCACUUGUCUUAUUCACAAAAAAGGUAUUCAAGAAAACUGAAUAUUUGCAUUGGCAGUAUCCUGAGUUGGCUGAACAAGCAGAAAAAAUCUUGAAAAAGUGCAACGGUCUUCCUCUUGCAAUAAUUGCCAUAGCUGGUUUCUUGGCAAAUCAACCAAAAACUGCCACGGAAUGGAGAAAACUGAAUGAGAAUCUUAGUAGUGAGUUGGAGAUGAAUGCAGAGCUUGACACCAUAAGAACAGUCCUCCUCAAAAGCUAUGACGGUUUACCCUAUCAUCUCAAGGCUUGUUUAUUGUACCUUGCAAUCUUUCCCGAAGACUACAAGAUUAGUCUAACGCGUUUGGUGUGGCGGUGGAUUGCAGAGGGCUACUCAAGAGAGGUGUGUGGCAAGUCUUCCUAUGAAAUAGCAGAGAGCUACUUCAUGGACCUCAUAAGAAGGAGCAUGGUCCUGCCAUCCCGGCUAUCAAGGCAUGGUGAAAAAGAAUUUGACUCUUGCCAACUCUAUGAUAUCAUUCGUGAAAUCGUCAUCUCAAAGUCAAUGGAGGAAAGUCUUGUUUUCAGAUUGGAGCAAGGUUGCACCUUGAAUAGCCAAGUCAGAACACGUCACCUCUCUGUAAGCAAGAACUGGAAAGGAGACCAGAGUGAAUUCGAGAGUACAGUAGACCUGUCUCGUGUUCGAUCAAUAACAAUCUUUGGGAAGUGGAGGCCAUUCUUCGUCUCUGACAAGAUGAGGUUGCUGCGGGUACUGGACUUGGAAGGCACUUCAGGUUUGGUUGAUCAUCAUCUCAAGCACAUUGGGAAGCUUUUCCACUUGAGAUACCUUUCCCUCAGAGGAUGUCAUGGAAUUUAUCACCUGCCAGGUUCUUUGUGUAACCUAAGGCAGCUCCAGACACUAGAUGUCAGAGGUACAAACAUAUUCAAGCUACCAAAGAGCAUCAUGAAGCUCAGGAAGCUACAACAUGUUCGUGCCAGGGGCGUUGGGAGUACCGAUGAAUGUGUCUAUCAAGAAUAUCCAGAUGAGGUCCCGAAGCUGAUGAGGAACAAGCUAUGCAUGUUGACCUCCUCCUUGGCGGGGUUCUGCGUGGCAUGCUGUGCGCCACAACUUCUGAAGGAGUGCAUGAGCAUCGACGGGGACACCAACAGGCGUGACGUCUGCACCGCGUGCUGCUGCUCCUAUCUGCCGAUGCAGCUGACACGCCGGAGUGCACGCGGCUUAGCGGUGCCUAGAGGGAUUCACAGGCUCAAAGCCUUGCACACGUUGGGUGUCGUGAACGUCUCGAGGAGGAAGGCAGCACUGCGAGAGAUAGCAAGGCUCACGGGGCUGCGCAAGCUGGGAGUGACCUGCGUCGACGAGAGCAACAGUGGAGAGCUAUGUUCUGCCCUGGCUAGUCUCAGCUGCCUAGAGAGCCUGCUAGCACAGUCGGAGGGUAAGCCAGGUUUGUUUGGCUGCUUGGAUGGCCUGUCCUCACCUCCGGAAAACCUCGGAAGCCUGAAGCUGUAUGGCAACCUGGUCAAAUUGCCGGCAUGGAUCGACGGUGGGCUAAAAAAUCUGGCCAAGCUCAAGCUGCGGAGUUCCAGGAUAACGGACCAUGAUGCUGCCAUACAAGUCCUUGGGAGUCUACCGAACCUAGCCCUCCUGCAUCUGCGGAAAGAGUCAUUUGAGGGUGAAGAAGUCCAUCUUCGUUUCAGCGGGGGCUCAUUCCAGACCCUAAUGGUGCUGGAGCUGAGUUCCCCAGGUAAGCUCAAAUCCGUAGGGUUUGAAGAGGGAGCAGCCCCUAAGCUUGAGCUGCUGGAGUAUUGCGGCCAGCCUGAGGAAGAUGCCGUUUCAAAAGAAAACAACGGCGAUCAGAUUGAAGAAGCCCCCAGUGUUUGGUUGUUUUCUGGGCUAGCAUUUCUGGGAAGCCUCAAGGAGGUUGUGCUCAAGGGGGGCGACUACAAGAACGACUUCGUGAGAAACGUGUAUUACCAGCUUCAGUCAAACCCGAGACGGCCUCUUCUCAAGAUGGAGUGA
rnacentral:rRNA from 1 species